rnacentral:rRNA from 1 species
GGCUCAGGAUGAACGCUGGCGGCGUGCCUAACACAUGCAAGUCGAACGGGUGUGGUAUCAGGGAAAAGGGGUUUACUUCUUUGACCAGAUAACACACUAGUGGCGGACGGGUGAGUAACGCGUGGAUAACCUGCCUUAUACAGGGGGAUAACAGGGAGAAAUUCUUGCUAAUACCCCAUAGGUAUGUCUGACGCAUGUUGGACAUAUUAAAGCUUUGGCGGUAUAAGAUGGGUCCGCGUCUGAUUAGCUAGUUGGUGGGGUAAAGGCCCACCAAGGCGACGAUCAGUAGCCGGCUUGAGAGAGUGGACGGCCACAUUGGGACUGAGACACGGCCCAAACUCCUACGGGAGGCAGCAGUGGGGAAUAUUGCACAAUGGGGGAAACCCUGAUGCAGCGACGCCGCGUGAAGGAAGAAGGUCUUCGGAUCGUAAACUUCUAUCAGCAGGGAAGAAGGAAGUGACAGUACCUGAGUAAGAAGCCCCGGCUAACUACGUGCCAGCAGCCGCGGUAAUACGUAGGGGGCGAGCGUUAUCCGGAAUUACUGGGUGUAAAGGGUGCGUAGGCGGUAUGGCAAGUCAGUUGUGAAACCCCCUGGCUCAACCAGGGGCUUGCAAUUGAAACUGUCAUACUAGAGUGCAGGAGAGGAAAGCGGAAUUCCUAGUGUAGCGGUGAAAUGCGUAGAUAUUAGGAAGAACACCAGUGGCGAAGGCGGCUUUCUGGACUGUAACAGACGCUGAGGCACGAAAGCGUGGGGAGCGAACAGGAUUAGAUACCCUGGUAGUCCACGCCGUAAACGAUGAGUGCUAGGUGUUGGGGUCUAAUUAGAUCUCGGUGCUGAAGUUAACGCAUUAAGCACUCCACCUGGGGAGUACGAUCGCAAGAUUGAAACUCAAAUGAAUUGACGG